UCUUGACCUUAGUCACAAUUUGUAGACCUCUUCAACCCUGAGCCUUGUCAUCAUUGUGCAAAUGAAUUGUCCGUGCUUUUCCUUUCUUGCACUUUUGUAUUAAUGUGUCAUUUUUUGACUAGAGAUGUGCUUUUGACACUUAACAUACUUUCUAUUGAUGAAUACAAUAAGUAAGAAGUGUGAAAUGUAAUUGUAGUUCUUAAUGUUAGAUGAACAGUAAAUGUUCAGUUGCGCACUUCACAUUUCAGCUUAAGCGUGAUAAAUCUACAUGGAGUAGACAAAUGAGAUUGACUAUAUUUUAGAACCAGCAGGAAACUAGUUUCAGAUUUUUGAGCUGCAUAUUUUAGUUUUUCUAAAAAAUCCAAAGCAAAAGGGAUUUUUUUUUUUCUAGUUUCAGUUUUGGCACUGGCUUUUAUCCUGGAGUUUUAAAAUAUUCUUCAUCCUGUUCUUUUUCUAUUAAGGUUAAUGUUGAAGAAGGAAAAUGCGGAAGUCGUCAUUUGACAAGUUUUAUAAAUGAGUAUUUGAAGCUCAGGAAUAAGUGAAGCUGAAAUUUGAAAAAAUAAAAGAAAGAAUGCAUGCUAAUUAUCAGACCAGAAGUCCCACUUGUAGAAUAUUGAGCAAUUUGUGUGAAGUGGGGAAGAUGAAAGAAGUCAGAAUUUGAAACGGAAGAAUGAAGAA
rnacentral:lncRNA from 1 species